CGGAUUCGCCGGCUUCGUGUGGACGGAAGGCCGAACCGUACAAGACCUUUGCGGUUUCGCCAUGAAAUCGGCUUCGUGUGGACGGGGCCUAAAGGUGGGUUUCACGUGACGUCACGUUGCUGCAUCGCGAACGCGCGAAAUCCAGAUGGAGGGCAGGAAGUGAAGUCUGACAAUAGAACUGCUGUGUGAAUAAGUCAAGAUGCCUAUGUUCUGUGCAGUUUACGGCUUCUCAAAUCGUUCUACCCGUGAAAAAGACAAGAGUUUCUUUAGAGUACCAAAGGUUGUCGUCCAUAAAGGUGAGAAAUGUAAAAAGCUCACAGAACAACGCCGUAAAAAGUGGAUUUUAAACCUACGUCUGCAGUCGGGAGGAGCAGAGUCUGUUUACUCUCGUGUCUGCAGCGACCACUUCGUCAGAGGCGGAAGGCGGGUCACUCCAGGCUGCUGCAGUCGUCGUCACUGUCGCUGCUAGUUGUAUCAUGAUCCAGGAUGACCGGGGAAGGACUCGGAGGAGGAAGACUGAACUGCUGGGGACCUGGAAUGUAGAAGAUCAUCGUUAAGCGUACAAUUUGGUGACAUGGGUUAAGCUCCAUGAAACUGUAAAAGGUUCAGCACAUCCCUCUUGCCCCUCAAACGCUUCAAGAGAAAGAGCAAUUGAAUUUCAGCGCGAAGUGGUUGGUGAGGAUGUGGCGAAGGAUUCUUCGAACCGCGUCACCAGGAUUGCAGCCCCCAAGCGCACUAAGGUGUGCUGCCUGCAGAUGGAGUGUCUGCUGCUGCUGUCGUUUUUUGCCUAGUAAGGGCCUGGAGGAGGAGGUUGUUCUGCCUCACCAAGGCCUUCAACUCCUCCACAGCACGCAGGAGUGCAUGAUCCCGUUCUACAGGACAGAAAAACAUCAUGACUGUCAUGUCAAGAGGUGCUCCUGGUUUGGGCUUUUUUCAGGUUCAUACGCGCUGCAUCAUAAUUGGCUGUUGAAGACAACAAUGAAGUCUCAUCUGGCAUAGCGCUUUGGAUGACUGCAAUUUUCGUCCGCUUGGUGUCUUUAUACGGUGGCCAAAAAGACACCUUGCCGUCCAAACUUAGCCACGAGCAAGGCACAACCUCCACCUCAUUUGACUCGUUCCCAUCUCUCAGACUUACCUGAUCCUCCAUCCAAACUCUGAUGUUGGAAUCCAUGCUGUCCAGUCCAUGUGAAGAGCACAGGAAGGCUUGUUGCAGCACACUUAAUAGUAGGGUAUCACCAUAUGUCUGGUUGAGCUCCACAAAAGAUCUCGUCUGGCUCAGCUGUUUGAAGCGCAUCUACCUAAAUGUGUCAUUGUAAGGUGGUCUCCCUCUCUCCCUCCCCACCUCCCUCUCUCCCUCCCCACCUCCCUCUCUCCCUCCCCACCUCUCUCCCUCCCUCCCUUAUCACUCCUAGGCACACCAGGUGCAAAGUCCAGCACAAAUUGGGUCACCAAGCCUACAUCUAGGUGUUGUAAUGGACUGUCCGCUUUUAAAGCCUAAGGGGAGAAAAGUGACCUGGGCCCUCUUGCAUGCACCUUUCGCAGUCGUAAUAGGAAUUGUGUGCUUUUAUUUUUUUUAGAAAUGCCCAUGCCUGUGCAUCACAGACAAAACAGGAAAUUUCGAUUUUACUUAGAACAGUAACCCGGCUUGCGGAGGUACCUUCCCUUAUACCCAAACUCCUUUUCUGUACAUAGUUUCUCAUUUAUUUAUUUUGUCUGUUCAGUCAAAUUGCAAAGAUUGUAUUUAUAUAUUGCAUUUCAUUUUCAUCAGUUGUUUGCACUGACAUACACAUGACAAUUAAAACUUGCGUUGUACUAUUUUAUA